UGCUCGGUUAUUUUUCAUCAGCAAUGAGCCGCAGUCUUCCACACUGAUGACGCGGGUUCGAUUCCCGUCAUCC
rnacentral:tRNA from 1 species